rnacentral:miRNA from 1 species
AGGGUAACCAAUUGGCUUGGCUUGCCUGGGACUGAGUGGUUUCCCUGGUUGCAGGACGUAUACUGCUA